CCUACGGGGGGCUGCAGUGGGGAAUAUUGGACAAUGGGCGAAAGCCUGAUCCAGCCAUGCCGCGUGUGUGAAGAAGGCCUUCGGGUUGUAAAGCACUUUCAGUGGGGAAGAAAGCCUUGGGGCUAAUACCCUCGAGGAAGGACAUCACCCACAGAAGAAGCACCGGCUAACUCCGUGCCAGCAGCCGCGGUAAUACGGAGGGUGCGAGCGUUAAUCGGAAUUACUGGGCGUAAAGCGCGCGUAGGCGGUCUGAUAAGCCGGUUGUGAAAGCCCCGGGCUCAACCUGGGAACGGCAUCCGGAACUGUCAGGCUAGAGUGCAGGAGAGGAAGGUAGAAUUCCCGGUGUAGCGGUGAAAUGCGUAGAGAUCGGGAGGAAUACCAGUGGCGAAGGCGGCCUUCUGGACUGACACUGACGCUGAGGUGCGAAAGCGUGGGUAGCAAACAGGAUUUGAUACCCCUGUAGUC
rnacentral:rRNA from 1 species